GAGCAUGUGAACACGCCUCCAGGGGAUAAUCAGCAGAAAUCAUCGAAAGAAAACCAGAAAUCUAAUAAGGUUCGUUUCAAUUUUCAAACUACCGCCGAAAAGUGUAGCGGUGGCCUAGAAACCGACGUGUGGAUAUCUAGGCCAUCUCAUUUUUUUAAAUUAAUUUUUCACAUUUUUUCGCUUUUUACAUGGCAAAACCGAUAAUUCCAAGCGUUUGAUAACGGGAAAACUGAUAAAAUAUUUUUGAAAUCGAUAUUUAUUCAUUGUUUUCUCAUAAUCAACUUUGAAUCUGAUAUAAUAAUCGCUCAAACGUCCUGAAACUCGGGUUACAAAACUAAACUAUUUAUUUUUCAGGAUAAACAGUCGUCAAAUCAGCCACCCGGUCAAAUUCCGCAUUCAACAAAUAGCGGAACAAGGAAAUCGAGUGGAAGCGGAUUGAAAACUGCAAAUUUGAAAGUAAGAUCUCAGAAAAAAUGUAUAUUUUUUUCAAGUCUAAGAACUUUCUGUGUGAACUUUCUGUGUUCGGUGCAACACAAAAGAUCUCAUCCAAGACACGGGCGGUCUUCGAGAAGAUUAGUGAUAAAAGAAAAUAAAGAGAGUUCCGAGUAACAGACAGUGUUAUUUGAUGAUGACAACGACGUUCCGUUGCGCCGCCGCCGCCGUCGCUCCCAUCAUCACUCAAUUUACCUUGUUCGUGUUUCCUAGUUUUCUCAAUAUAUAUCUUCCUCGUCGUUUUUUUCGCUGAAAACUGAUAGAAAUAUGACGAAAAACGGAAAUUGACGACCUGUGGAUGGAAAACUUCGACGGGGCGCGAGAUGUGGGGAGACAGAACAAAAAUGUUGUUUGUUGCAUGAAAAAUUGAGAAAAAAAAGAGAGAGAGAGAGAGGUGGGAGAGAAUUUUUCAAUAUAGAAAUCAUUCGUUUUGUUCGUUGUCGACCUGGCAAACCGCCAUACAAAAUGUCCAGAGUUUCAGGCUAUUUUAUGGGAAUUUCUAAGAAAAAUGGUCAAAAAAAGGUAGGACAGCUGUAUAAAAAUUAAUUUUUCUGCUAAAUAUGAGGACCGGCGAUAGUCUAAGUCAAAAUAUUCGUUAACCUUUAAUAUUUUUGCUUAAAUGAAUCCGAAACUAACGAAUUUCGUAAUGAAAUUUCUAAUAAAACAUUCCAACAUUUUUUGCCGAGCCAAUUCUUUUAAAAUCUGAAAUUUCGCUACUUGUCCUGGUGUAAAUACAGUUUUUAUUGAAUAAUCACCCGGUAUAACAAAUUUUGAUAGUUUAUCUUCCGUUAAUUCGUUGGUUAAAAAAAUUUUAUAGUCGAUAUCGAUAAAAAUGCAUUACAUCUGCUGCGACAAAAAAAGUUAGCGAAAUUUCAGAUUUGAACAAAAUUUGAUUUUUUUUUCAAAUGUUGACCUGCCCAAUAAAAAUUUUUAAAUCCUUAAAUUUCAGCAUCCGGCGCGCCCAUCAACAGAAUCCUCAACUUCUUCAUCACAUCAUCGACGUCCUGCACAAGAAAUGAACGGAACGUCGACGGCAACUGCCACCGGUGGCGGAGGAACAUCUGGAGCCACCACAACGGCAUCAUCAGGAGCACCGGCUGCUUCAUCGGGUGGAAGCUCGGCUAGAUAUUCGAGUAGUGGGAGAUCCCAUCCAACGUCUGGAAGG
rnacentral:sRNA from 1 species